rnacentral:rRNA from 1 species
AUUGAACGCUGGCGGCAGGCUUAACACAUGCAAGUCGAGCGGGGUGAUGGUGCUUGCACUAUCACUUAGCGGCGGACGGGUGAGUAAUGCUUAGGAAUCUGCCUAUUAGUGGGGGACAACAUAUCGAAAGGGAUGCUAAUACCGCAUACGUCCUACGGGAGAAAGCAGGGGAUCACUUGUGACCUUGCACUAAUAGAUGAGACUAAGUCGGAUUAGCUAGUUGGUGGGGUAAAGGCCUACCAAGGCGACGAUCUGUAGCGGGUCUGAGAGGAUGAUCCGCCACACUGGGACUGAGACACGGCCCAGACUCCUACGGGAGGCAGCAGUGGGGAAUAUUGGACAAUGGGGGGAACCCUGAUCCAGCCAUGCCGCGUGUGUGAAGAAGGCCUUAUGGUUGUAAAGCACUUUAAGCGAGGAGGAGGCUCUUUUGGUUAAUACCCAAGAUGAGUGGACGUUACUCGCAGAAUAAGCACCGGCUAACUCUGUGCCAGCCGCCGCAGUAA